UUCCUCUUUCUCUCUGAUAACCACGUAUUUUCUCCAUUAGAAGAAUUGGCAGAGAGAAAACAAAGUAAGGAAAUCAAAUAUAAAUUCCCAGUGCUCCUAAUAUCUCUUGGAAAGAAAAUGGACACCUCUGUUAACAAAGUUAUGAUGAUUUCUACCUCGGUACACAUUUUCGAACUUCUCAGAGAGGAACCAGCUCACCUAGCGGUCCUUUGAGAGCAUUAGCACUCACACCCCAUACAACUAGAACUCAUGACACUGGCAAAUGGUGUUUCUAGAGUGCUUUGCAUUGCCCGACAUGUUCUCACCCUGUUUUCUCCCCAAUCCUUACAAUUCUCCAAAUGCAAGUGCAAACUGGGGUGCUGUCAAGCAGCCUGGUGCUUAAAGGGCAGAGCCAGGAUGGACCCAGAUUCUGGUUUCCACCAUGUGCCUGAUGGAUACCAUGCGGAUGUGGAGCAGGAAACACUGGGUGCAAAUCCCCACCAGGAACUGUUCAUCCUGAAAAAAACCUGCUGCACAUUGCCCUGGUCACCUCAACGAAAAAUGGGUCAAAAUCAAAGUUGAUGAUCAGUCAUAUGAUCUUCAGCAGCCCUGGAAGGGUGUGAGUUCUCGGCAUCCCAUGCAGGAGCUCUGAAUGUACAAGAGGUGCUGAGGAGGGAGCAUGCGCCGGUGCGUGAGUAUGGUUCAUGUCGCCCCUCAGGGUUGGAGGGUGGUAAUUGACCUGUGACACUGGGUUGAAGCUGGGCUCUAACCUAAGGAUUAAACAGAAUCCUGCCCCGGGGGAAGCACCCGCCUUCUGCCAUUGAGAAGUAACAAUUAGGCUUCUCCUUGGAGCUCACUGUUCGAUGAUAGUGUCAUCUCCCAGCAUUCUAGUCCCAUUUCCUCCUGUGCUGAGAAUCAGCUAUAGAGUGGAAUUGGCAAUUUUAGGGAGCCUUGAAAUGUGAAUCUUUUUUGUCUUUUUACUGUUUUUCAUCCACAUGGUGAAUAGCUGGUAAACAAACUCACAGAGAGCCUAAGUUACAGAUGAACUCAAUUUCUGGUGCUGUUAUCUCCCCAAAUUGCUUGUCUUCUCCUUUCAAGGUUUUCACUCAGAAAGGUACAGAAUUACCACUUGAUGAGUUACCAUGGCAACCCCUAUACAUUAUCUUUUAAAUAUCCCAGACAUGCAGAGUCUAAUUUGACUGCAGGGAUUUUAAUUCAUGACUUCUAUGUUUUGUAUAGUACCAUGUUUUUAAAGUUAAUGAAUUAUAAACAGAAAAACAUAGUUAAAUUGGCUUUGAUUAAAAGAUAGCUUAUUUAGCAAUGCUGCUUCCAUAUAUGUUCCUCAAACAACAGAACAUUAUUUCAACCUAUUUCAAAUCUAUACCACUGAGAGACUGCUGCACACUUCUGCAAUAGGCUGUGAUCCUGGGAACCUGGGAUGGGAACUUCAUUAUUAGUAGAAUCUAGU
rnacentral:lncRNA from 1 species